AUUGCUUUUCUAACUGUUUUGUAGGUCAUCGAGGUAAGGAAAUAAGCAGGCAGCCUCAUGCAGUUUUGAGCAGGGGCCGAGAUCAGAGGAGGCGGGCGGCGGGGGCCCCACAAAGGGGCGACUGGAAGCCGGAGCUGUCUCUCCGCCCGGUCGGGCACGGGGCGCGGCAGGCGAAGGCUGCUUCUUUGACCUGGGCGCAGGCUGGAAACCCCGGUCUUGCUGUCUCUUUUCUUAUCUACCACGUUCCCCCGGCCAGGGCUGCCUGGGGUGGCUCUUGUUAUUGUGGCUGCUUUUGGAGACGGUGGUUGAGACCCUCGGACGAACGGUCAAGCCGAUUGUAAAUGCUCUUAUUUCCCUAUUCUUCAGGGACACCAGCCCCAACGAAAGACCUUGGGCGAUUUCAAGGCGCAGGCACCUCGAUUCCCCGAAUUUGUGGUGUGGCCGGUAUCGGUGUUCCCUUGGUUUAACUAGCCUGUCUGAAGGCGAAGAUCAUACUUGGGCAAGUACAACCGAAACCAGUCCUCCCCUGGCCCCUCCACCCCAAGGGUCUUCAUUUUCCCAAUCUACAUCUGCCUGUGACUCCAGAAAGACAAGCUUCAGAUUGGCCAAGGUACAUCUCUGACCAGAGCCCUCCGGGAAAUGUGCAGGAAUGUGUGGCUUAUGGUGAGGAGCUCUGGUGAGGGUGCCCCCAGUGCCAUUUUCCUGCCCCUGCCCUUGACAGUCCUUUCUGGCCCAAGUCCGGAGCUCUGGAAGGUCAAAGUCUAGCUGCUAGUGUCAUCUCCAAGCCCUCGGUUGUCAAUCCUGAGACAGAUUGGAAUUUCCGCUCAAGGCUUGAUCAACUCACAAUUCUCCAAGUUGGAGGUGCAGCCGGGAGAUGGCAGCAGGUGGUGAAAGUGUGACCCCCACUUUGUCUCCAGGCCCAGCUUAAAUUCCACCUCCUCCAGGAAGCCUUUCCAGCGACUGGAGCUAGUAGAGGAGUUGGACGUCUUCCAUUAGGCAACAGAACUUCAUCUCCACGCCCUAGAGAGAAGCAGGGAAGGCUUCCUCCGGAUGGAUCGCGCUUGCAAUGGGUCUCCGUCAGCCGUCGUUGGAUCCGAGCGUGGGAGACCCAGCCCCGGCCUGGCCUUCCCGGGUCGCCCCUCUCCACGUCCUGAGCUCCCGAGUCAGAGCUGGGCAGGGCGGACUCUGGGCUCCCCACGGACUGGCUGCGUGACCUCGGACAAGCUCCUCGGUCUCUCUAAGCCUUAGUUUCCCCAUCUGAACAGUGGGGAAUGACACCGACCUCGAGAGUGUGCAGGGAAGGUUAAACGAGAUGAAGGUGCACGAAAGAUCGAGACGCCUGACGCACAGGCUGCGCUCAAUAAAUGUUUAUGCAUUUUC